GGCAGCAUGGCAUAGUGGUUUAAGUGUUGGACAAUGACUCUGGAGAACAGGGUUCGAUUCCCUGCUGAGCCA